rnacentral:rRNA from 1 species
AUGAUGACGAUUCUCAUAGUCCUGUUCGUCCUUGGGUUCGUUGCAGGAGCGCAACAAACUGAUGGUAAUCCUCAUUCAGCCGCGUACGAUGUCACGUGGUCACCGCGCGGCCCUUCGUCGACAAUCCCACCUCUUCAUCCGUCGGACGGCGUGUUCCCGACACAGUGGUGCAACCCCCGCCCACAGCACCUCAAGGCCGACAAAGGGAUCCUCUUUCUCAGGCGCAACCUGUUCGACGGCGCGGUGCUGCCCGCAGGCACCAAGCUCGGGCACGCCAGGAGGGCAGGCACCGCCAGCACGGUCACCGGCACCAACCUCGCGCCGCCGCCGUUCGACUACGGCAGCCUCCGAAACAUACUGACCUACUACAAUAUUGCGCCGGGCUCGGAGCAGGCCCGGCAGGUGGCCAGCACGCUCCGGUUCUGCGGCCGCAGCGAGGCACGAGGCGGCGACCAGCCGGAAAAACCCCACCUCUGCGCCACCACCGAGCGAGCGGCCAUGGAGUUCGCCGCGGCGGCCCUGGGAGCAGCGACGGCGGAGCCGCUCAGGACGGUCGUGCACGGGCGCGAGGAGCCCCACAGGUACGUGGUGGCGCCCGGCGGCGUCGCCAGCAUUGCCGGCGCGGUCGUGCCGUGCCACCCGCUGCCGUACCCGGCGGACGUGCUGUACUGCCACCGGCCAAGCAACGUGGGCGCGGUGCGCGUGGAGCUGGUCGGGCAGGACGACCCUACGCUGGGCGCGACGGCGAUCGCCGUCUGCCACGAGGACACCUCCGGCUGGGACGCCGAGUACUUCGCGACGCUCAACGGGUCCCGCGGCGAGCCGAUCUGCCACUACAUGCCAGAGAAGUAUGUGGUGUGGGUGGGUGGUGAAAUCCACUAG